rfam:Schistosoma mansoni, Puerto Rico, WGS project CABG01000000 data, contig: 0113
AACUUCCGUAUCCGUGCUGAGAUUUCAUCACACCAGACUACAAGGACUGAUGAGACUCCCAAGAUAAGUGUAGCG